rnacentral:rRNA from 1 species
UGAGGAAUAUUGGUCAAUGGACGCAAGUCUGAACCAGCCAAGUAGCGUGCAGGAUGACGGCCCUAUGGGUUGUAAACUGCUUUUAUAUGGGGAUAAAGUGGGGAACGUGUUCCCUUUUGCAGGAACCAUAUGAAUAAGGACCGGCUAAUUCCGUGCCAGGAGCCGCGGUAAUACGGAAGGUUCGGGCGUUAUCCGGAUUUAUUGGGUUUAAAGGGAGCGUAGGCCGUUUGGUAAGCGUGUUGUGAAAUGUAGGAGCUCAACUUCUAGAUUGCAGCGCGAACUGUCAGACUUGAGUGCGCACAACGUAGGCGGAAUUCAUGGUGUAGCGGUGAAAUGCUUAGAUAUCAUGAAGAACUCCGAUUGCGAAGGCAGCUUACGGGAGCGCAACUGACGCUGAAGCUCGAAGGUGCGGGUAUCGAACAGG